CCCCGAGCGGCCGCGGCGGACAAACCAAAUCUUGUAUCUUAGUUGAUAUCUGAGCGUCUUAUUUAAUAAGUCAAAACUUUCAACAACGGAUCUCUUGGUUCUGGCAUCGAUGAAGAACGCAGCGAAAUGCGAUAAGUAAUGUGAAUUGCAGAAUUCAGUGAAUCAUCGAAUCUUUGAACGCACAUUGCGCCCAUUAGUAUUCUAGUGGGCAUGCCUGUUCGAGCGUCAUUUCAACCCCUAAGCACAGCUUACUGUUGGGACUCUACGGCCCCCGUAGUUCCCCAAAGCCAUUGGCGGAGUGGCAGUAGUCCUCUGAGCGUAGUAAUUCUUUAUCUCGCUUUUGUUAUGCGCUAGCCCCCCGGGCCGUUAAACCCCCCAAUUUUUUCUGGUUGACCUCGGAUCAGGUAGGAAUA
rnacentral:rRNA from 1 species